rnacentral:rRNA from 1 species
GUGAGGAAUAUUGCGCAAUGGAGGCAACUCUGACGCAGCCAUGCCGCGUGCAGGAAGAAGGCGCUACGCGUUGUAAACUGCUUUUAACCGGGAAGAAACCCCAGGACGUGUCCUGGGUUGACGGUACCGGAGGAAUAAGCACCGGCUAACUUCGUGCCAGCAGCCGCGGUAAUACGAAGGGUGCAAGCGUUAUCCGGAUUCAUUGGGUUUAAAGGGUGCGUAGGCGGAGCGUUAAGUCAGUGGUGAAAUCCUGCAGCUUAACUGUAGACUUGCCAUUGGUACUGGCGCUCUUGAGUGCGCUUGAAGUGGGCGGAAUGUGCCGUGUAGCGGUGAAAUGCUUAGAUAUGGCACAGAACACCAAUUGCGAAGGCAGCUCACUAAGGCGAUACUGACGCUGAGGCACGAAAGCGUGGGGAUCGAACAGGAUUAGAAACCCUGGUAGUCC